ACACGGGGGGCGCAAGCGUUAUUCGGAAUUAUUGGGCGUAAAGGGCGCGUAGGCGGUCUUGUCGGUCAGAUGUGAAAGCCCAGGGCUCAACCCUGGACGUGCAUUUGAAACAGCAAGACUUGAGUACGGGAGAGGAAAGCGGAAUUCAUGGUGUAGAGGUGAAAUUCGUAGAUAUCAGGAGGAACACCGAUGGCGAAGGCUGCUUUCUGGACCGAUACUGACGCUGAGGCGCGAAGGCGUGGGUAGCGAACAGGAUUAGAAACCCCGGUAGUCC
rnacentral:rRNA from 1 species